CACACACAGCGAGGAGGUGCGGUCCGCUUGGUCAUGCUCCUGGGGGAGGGGACAUGUAAGCAGUAUGGUGUGGUGAAGACUGGGGCCCAGAGGGGUUAAACAAUGUGCCCUAAGUUGCUCAGCUGCUGAGUGGUAAAUACUGGAGAGUCGUCUGGCUGGGCCACUGGGCAGGGCAGUUGCUACAUAGCACAAAGCAGAGGCGUAGUCACCUGGGCUCCAAGCCUUCAAGAGAAGAGGCAUAUCUUCUUAAGAAAG